rnacentral:rRNA from 1 species
GUGCCAACAACCGCAGUAAUACCUAGGUGGCUAGCGUUGUCCGGAUUUAUUGAGCGUAGAGCGAGCGCAGGCGGUUUCUUAAGCUCUGAUGUGAAAGCCCCCGGCUCAGACCGGGGAGGGUCAUUGGAAACUGGAAGACUUGAGUGCACAAGAGGAGAGUGGAAUUCCAUGUGUAGCGGUGAAAUGCGUAGAUAUAUGGAGGAACACCAGUGGCGAAGGCGGCUCUCUGGUCUGUAACUGACGCUGAGGCUCGAAAGCGUGGGGAGCAAACAGGAUUAGAUACCCUGGUAGUCC